rnacentral:rRNA from 1 species
GGAGCCAAGCGUUGUCCGGAUUGACUGGGCGUAAAGCGCACGCAGGCGGUCGCGCGCGUGGGGUGUGAAAUCUGGCCGCUUAACGGCCAGGCGCCAUCCCAUACGGCGCGACUGGAGUGAUGCAGAGGUCGAUGGAAUUGCCGGUGUAGUGGUGAAAUGCGUAGAGAUCGGCAGGAACACCCAGGGGGAAACCAGUCGACUGGGCAUCUACUGACGCUGAGGUGCGAGAGCGUGGGGAGCGAACCGG